rnacentral:rRNA from 1 species
AUACGGAGGAUGCGAGCGUUAUCCGGAUUUAUUGGGUUUAAAGGGAGCGUAGGUGGGAUAUUAAGUCAGCUGUGAAAGUUUGGGGCUCAACCUUAAAAUUGCAGUUGAUACUGGUUUCCUUGAGUACGGUACAGGUGGGCGGAAUUCGUGGUGUAGCGGUGAAAUGCUUAGAUAUCACGAAGAACUCCGAUCGCGAAGGCAGCUCACCGGGCCGGAACUGACACUGAUGCUCGAAAGUGCGGGUAUCAAACAGGAUUAGAUACCCUGGUAGUCCGCACAGUAAACGAUGAAUACUCGCUGUUUGCGAUACACUGUAAGCGGCCAAGCGAAAGCGUUAAGUAUUCCACCUGGGGAGUACGCCGGCAACGGUAAAACUCAAAGGAAUUGACGGGG